GUAGCUUCUCCACUCAUUCUGGAAUCUCUGCCUGGUUUAGCCCACCUGCCUCCACUCCUGCCUCCACCAUGUCCAUCAGGGUGACCUAGAAGUCCUAGAAGGUGUCCAUCUCUGGCUGCAGGGGCUUCAGUAGCUGCUUCUAUAGGAGUGGGUCCAGUGGCCACAUCAGCUCCUUGAGCUUCUCCUGAGUGGGUAGCAGCAGCUUCUGGGGUGGCCUGGGUGGAGGCUAUGAUGGGGCCAGAGGCAUGGGAGGCAUCACUGCCAUCAUGGUAAACCAGAGCCUGCUGAGACCCCUUAAGCUGCAGGUGGACCCCAACAUCCAGGCCGUGCGCACCCAGGAGAAGAAGCAGAUCAAGACUGUCACAACAAGUUUGCCUCCUUCAUCGACAAGGUGCAGUUCCUGGAACAGCAGAACAAAAUGCUGGAGACCAAGUGGAGCCUCCUGCAGCAGCAGAAGACACCUUGAAGCAACAUGGACAACAUGUUCCAGAUCUACAUCGACAACCUUAGGUGGCAGCUGGAGACUCUGGGCCAGGAGAAGCUGAAGCUGGAGGCGGAGCUUGGUAACAUGCAGGGGCUGGUGGAGGACUUCAAGAACAAGUAAGAGGAUGAGAUCAAUAAGCGUACAGAGAUGGAGAAUGAAUUUGUCCUCAUCAAGAAGGAUGUGGAUGAAGCUGCCAUGAACAAGGUGGAGCUGGAGUCUCACCUGGAAGGGCUGACUGACGAGAUCCACUUCCUCAGGCUGCUGUAUGAAGAGGAGAUCCGGGAGCUGCAGUCCCAGAUCUUGGACACGUCUGUGGUGCUGUCCAUGGACAACAGCCGCUCCCUGGACAUGGACAGCAUCAUUGCUGAGGUCAAGGCACAGUAUGAGGAGAUCGCCAACCACAGCCGGGCUGAGGCGGAGAGGAUGUACCAGAUCAAGUAUGAGGAGCUGCAGAUGCAGGCUGGGCAGCAUGGGGAUGACCUGCGGCGUACGAAGACUGAGAUCUCCGAGAUGAACCGGAACAUCAGCCGACUCCAGGCUCAGAUUGAGGGCCUCAAAGGCCAGAGGGCUUCCCUGAGGGCCGCCAUCGCGGAUGCCGAGCAGCACAGGGAGCUGGCCGUUAAGAAUGUCAACGCCAAGCUGUCCGAUCUGGAGGCCGCCCUGCAGCGGGCCAAGCAGGACAUGGCCUGGCAGCUGCGUUGAGUACCAGGAGCUGAUGAACACCAACCUAGCUCUGCACACCGAGAGCGCCACCUACAGGAAGCUGCUGGAGGGCGAGGAGAGCCGGCUGGAGUCUGGGAUGCAGAACCUGAAUAUCCUUAAGAGGACCACCAGUGCCUACGCAGGUGUGCUGACCUCGCCUGUGGGGGCCUCACAAGCCCCGGCCUCAGCUGGAGCCCCUGGACUCCAGCUUUGGCUCUGGCGCGGGCUCCAGCUCUUUCCGCCGCACCAGCUCUGCCAGGGCCGUGGUUGUGCAGACGAUAGAGACCCGCAAUGAGAAGCUUGUGUCCGAGUCCUCUGACAUUCUGCUCAAGUGA